AGGGAAAAGCUCAAAUUUUCAAUCUGGCGUCUUUGGCGUCCGAGUUGUAAUCUAGAGAAGUGUUUUCCGCGUCGGACCGUGCAAAAGUCCCCUGGAACGGGGUGUCGUAGAGGGUGAGAAUCCCGUACUUGGCACGGACUCCCGUCGCUUUUGUGAUACACUCUCGAC
rnacentral:rRNA from 1 species